UACGUAGGUGGCAAGCGUUGUCCGGAUUUACUGGGCGUAAAGAGCGCGCGGGCGGCUGGUCAAGUCCGAUGUGAAAUCUCCCGGCUCAACUGGGAAACUGCAUCGGAAACUGAUCGGCUUGAAGGUGGGAGAGGGUAGUGGAAUUCCCGGUGUAGUGGUGAAAUGCGUAGAUAUCGGGAGGAACACCAGUGGCGAAGGCGACUACCUGGCCCACUCUUGACGCUGAGGCGCGAAAGCUAGGGGAGCGAACGGG
rnacentral:rRNA from 1 species